GUUGUUAACAGUUAAUCAAACUUGAAGCAAACCCUUCGGAAUGCGUUACGGCGUCCUAAUGUCUGGUAUAGAUAAAGACGAGUUCAACUGCAGGGUGGCUAAAAAGAAUGAAGCAAUUUCCGAUUGCAUGGUGACAGAACAUUCAACGGAUAUGAAAAAUGGUAUACGUCUUUAUACGUAUACGUUUUCGGAUACGCAAAUCGAUGGGUACUUUUGGACAUCCUAAAUUAAAUGAUCAUCUUCAACUACUGUUUCUGUGCAAACUACGUUAAUGAGUAAUUUGCGCCGUUCAUGUGCAUACUAGUGUUUGGUCUGUGGACCGGUGUCCUUGGAAUGCGUUUUCGUCCAAACUGUUUUCGACAUAAAUCGUGCGAAAGGGGGCGAAUGAUUCAACUUCAUUGCAACGUAGGGAAGCUCGUCCACUAGACCGGAAAUUAUUCGUAUGAAUUUGCAAGAACCAUUAUAUGUCCAAUAGAACCUUAGGCCGGUCGCCCUUUGGCGGGAUUUCGUCCGAUUUCGCAAAUGUGGGUAUCGUCCACUGGAAGUUUUUUCAUCGUACGAAUUGGAGUUGUUUAGUUAUGUAUAAAAUAAAAACAUUUAUACUGGGCACGUUUUCUGACGAACGCAGUUCGGAUGAAAACGCAUCGAAAAAAAGACCGGACUUUAAGUUUAAGUUUACUUACCCAAAACUACCAUAAAUUACCAUUCAUUCUAAUUGGAAAUUUUAAUGUGGAUUUUUCGUUUGAUAGAGCGAAAAGUUUAAUGUCAUCAAUCACUCACUUACUUGAUCCAAAGUGUAAAGUUGUUUCGAACUUCUCAAACAUAUUAAAUAUUUCUGUACCCA